rnacentral:misc_RNA from 1 species
UUAAAUGGACGUAGUUACACACUAUAUAUGUAUGCGUAUGCAGUAGUAUUUGCAAUUUAAAACAUACCUACAUAUAAAUAGACGGAAAACACAAUAGUGCGACUAGUGUUGAAAGCGCGUAAUACUAACGUAAAUAUAUGUAAAUACAUAGAUAUUUUGGAAGCUCGAGGUUGACAACCUCGUCGCUUGAAACACAAUAUGUAACAAAGUUUCGUUCCUUUCGUACAUAAUAUUUUAGGCCUUACAUAGGAAUCUGUAUUAUCAGAUUAUCACCAUGAUGUUAGAAUUGGAACGUUUUAAUGCUACCAACGAUACGUAUCAUCCAUCUCUGUAUCAAAGGCAAGGGCUCCAAAUCGGGCUGCAAAUUUCUGUCUAAGCUGAUCAUCGCGUGCAAUAUGUCUACCAGAUGCUACAGGUGCUAAGUGAAUUCGUGGACAGCCAUUUGUUCUGGACAUAAAAGAACAUAAUGAUAAAU